rnacentral:rRNA from 1 species
GGAAAAUCCCCAUUUUAGUUCCGUAAUAUAAUUUUCUCAGCACUAUUAUCAGUACACUUGCAGUACCAGAACAACGAGAGCAUAAGUAUGGCCAAGAUGAUAUGAAAGUAGUUAGGUUCAUCAAAGUGGCAAAAGCUAAGAUGCACCCUCUGUCAUUCACACGCACAUCGGUGUGCAUGUAGAUGAUAUUGAUGCAUAUCCAUACAAACUUAUUCCUAGGAUCCACCGAGACCACACAAGUGCCUGCAUAAAUGUAAAGCAAGAGCAGUCCUCUCUCUCUCUGUCUCUCUCUCAACCCUUAGCUUGCAAUUCUCCCCUCUUCAUGCAUGCAUGUCUACACAAAAGCUAUGCUAUAUACUCUAUGAUAUACAUACAUAUAUACUUGCAAGCAGUAGUAGUUAGUUAGCUCUCUCUCACACAGGCAUACUUUUACAGCUGUGCUACAUACUGAUGAUGGCGUCCCAUGAACCCCACCACCACCUCCUCGGCUUCUCCUCCUCGUCGCCGGUGACUCCUAACCCUGCCGCCAUGGCCAUGGCCUUCGACCACCACGGCGUCUUCGCCCCACUCCACGAGGACAUGCCUCCGCGAUUCGGAGGUGCCGAUGACAGGUCAUGGCUGCCGCAAUCGUCGACGCUCUCUCUCUACGACACGGUCGGCCAGCAUGAGCUGCAACCUUUCACGGUGGCGCCGCCGUCCAUGAUGCCCAUGCAGCAGCCGCCCUUCCGGUUAAAUAGCUCCAGGUACCUGGGCCCCGCGAGGGAGCUGCUCAGCGAGUUCUGCAACCUCGAAGGUGAUGCCAUGAACGGCGGCGCGAUGAUGCGAGCUCCGAAGCAGGACGGUGAAGUGGAGGCGUCGUCACCGGCAUGUGGCCCAUGGGGCGCCAAUCCGUCUGUGAGCUCCAUGGAUUACAUGGCGCUCGAGAGGAGGAAGGCCAGGCUCCUGUCCAUGAUUGAGGAGGUGGACAGGUGCUACUGGCGAUACCGUGAGAAAAUGCGGGCGACAGAGAUGUCAUUCGAGGCUGUGGCCGGCGUGGGGGCAGCACAAGUGUACACGAAGAUGGCGAUGCGUGCCAUGUCACGCCACUUCCGGUGCCUGAGGGAUGCGCUCGUGGGGCAGAUACGAACUUUGAAGAAGUCAAUGGGGGAGAGCAGGGAUGCCGACGGCAUGUUGGUAGCACCGGGUGCAUCAAAAGGGGACACGCCGAGGCUAAGGGUUGUGGACCAAUGCCUGAGGCGGCAAAGGGCGUUCCAGCAAUAUGGUGGUGGUGCCGCCAUUGAGAGCUGUCCGUGGCGGCCCCAGCGCGGCUUGCCAGAGCGCGCCGUCGCCGUCCUCCGCUCGUGGCUCUUCGAGCACUUCCUCCACCCGUAUCCGAAUGACGUAGACAAGCACAUUCUGGCGCGCCAAUCCGGGUUAUCAAGAAGCCAGGUUUCCAACUGGUUCAUCAAUGCAAGGGUUAGGCUAUGGAAGCCCAUGAUAGAGGAGAUGUACGCGGAAGAAACCAUACAACAUGACGACGGUGGCACUAGCAGUGGCAGAGGCGAACCUGCUCCCACGGAUCAUCACAACAACAACUUGGCAGCAUGCACGACGGUUACGAUAACAGGAGAUCAAAAUUGCCAUCGCCUUAGCGGCAGAAACAACCCUGGUGACUGCUUCAUCCCAUCCUCCCUGGUUGUGGACGGCGGGAAAUUUCUCCAUGGCUACCCAAGUUUGCGCAGUGAUAGCGGCAGCGGCGUGGUGUCGCUUACCUUGGGACUCCAGCAGCAACAGGCGUUUGCUUCACCGGCGAUGAUCAUGCAACAACAAUCGUCGCUCAUGAUUGGAGCUGAGGGGGAAGACAUGGUGCUACCGUACAGGAACCUCAUGGGGUCUGAGCUGCUGCAUGAUUUCGUAGGCUAGGACCCUAGGAGACAAGAACAUAAUCUAAUGCUACAACCCAUAUAGGUGCCACCAGAUUCUUAGGCAACUUGCACCGAUUGAUUGGAUAUGUGUAUAUUGUAGUACAACUUAAGUAAAAAAGUUAAUUAUAAAUGGCUAUGACCACUAUUUAUUUAUUUCGUGCCCGGAAACUUGUAGUAAGCCCUAGGGCAUUAGUAAGAACUAAUGAAUGAGGUCUCAACGUAAAAAUACCUAUGUCCAAAUGUGGUUGGAUGCCACGUCGACCUUAGAUUGUCGUUCUUUUGUCCUAUAUAUAUGCUUUGUUUGCUUCUUCUCUUGACUGCUAAAAAUUCUUCUCAAAAUCUAGUGAAGCAUUAAUUUGAGAUCAUAUAACAUACUUCACAAAAUAUUGCAACCAUUUCAACCUUUCCUUGAAAAUUCUUAUUUUGUUAACUAUUUUCAGAAUCCAGGUGGAUAUUUUUGGUUGAAAUAGAUGAACAUUCGGC